GACGAACGCUGGCGGCGUGCCUAAUACAUGCAAGUCGAACGCAGUGGGGACGGGUGAGUAACACGUGGGUAACCUCCCAUCAGAGGGGAUAACACUUGGAAACAGGUGCUAAACCGAUACUGAUGGAUGGUCCCGGGGUGCAUUAGCUAGUUGGUGAGGUAACGGCUCACCAGGGGCACGAUGCAGAGCCGACCUGAGAGGGUGAUCGGCCAAACUGGGACGGAGACACGGCCCAGACUCCUAGGGGAGGCAGCAGUGGGGAAUCUUGGGCAAGGGACGAAAGUCUGACCGAGCCACGCCGCGUGGGGGAAGAAGGUUUUCGGAUCGUAAAACUCUGUUGUUGGGGAGGCGGUAUCUAACCAGAAAGCCACGGCUAACUACGUGCCAGCAGCCGCGGUAAUAC
rnacentral:rRNA from 1 species